rnacentral:rRNA from 1 species
UCUGGCGGCAGUAGCGCGGUGGUCCCACCUGACCCAUGCCGAACUCAGAAGUGAAACGCCGUAGCGCCGAUGGUAGUGUGGGGUCUCCCCAUGCGAGAGUAGGGAACUGCCAGAC